CUUCAGUGAUGAUAUGAUGACGAGUCAGAGGCAGGAGGACUGUGGCUGUGGUACCUCUGUGGUGUCAUGUUCUGUGAUGCUGCAUGAGGUGCUUCCGCAGCCUGUCACCAGUGAACGAUCUAGAGGCAUUUGUCUGAGAAGG
rnacentral:snoRNA from 1 species